rnacentral:rRNA from 1 species
GGGUCAGUAGGUUGGUCGUGCCACCGGUACGUACUGGUCUCACUGAUUCCUCCUUCCUGAAGAACUGUAAUGCCAUUAAUUUGGUGUUGCGGGGAAACAGGACUGUUACUUUGAAAAAAUUAGAGUGUUUAAAGCAGGCUAACGCUUGAAUACAUUAGCAUGGAAUAAUGAAAUAGGACGAUCGAUCCUAUUUUGUUGGUUUUUAGGACUGACGUA